rnacentral:rRNA from 1 species
AUUGAACGCUGGCGGCAGGCCUAACACAUGCAAGUCGAACGGUAACAGAAAGCAGCUUGCUGCUUUGCUGACGAGUGGCGGACGGGUGAGUAAUGUCUGGGAAACUGCCUGAUGGAGGGGGAUAACUACUGGAAACGGUAGCUAAUACCGCAUAACGUCGCAAGACCAAAGAGGGGGACCUUCGGGCCUCUUGCCAUCGGAUGUGCCCAGAUGGGAUUAGCUAGUAGGUGGGGUAACGGCUCACCUAGGCGACGAUCCCUAGCUGGUCUGAGAGGAUGACCAGCCACACUGGAACUGAGACACGGUCCAGACUCCACGGGAGGCAGCAGUGGGGAAUAUUGCACAAUGGGCGCAAGCCUGAUGCAGCCAUGCCGCGUGUAUGAAGAAGGCCUUCGGGUUGUAAAGUACUUUCAGCGGGGAGGAAGGGAGUAAAGUUAAUACCUUUGCUCAUUGACGUUACCCGCAGAAGAAGCACCGGCUAACUCCGUG